AACGAGGCGACGGACCAACUCCUCAUUAAACCCUCAUCCUUCGUUUCCCCUCGCCCUCCGUUUCCCGUAAUCCCAGUCUUCCCGACUAGUCCCGAGCCCUCGUUUGGGUUCGGUGCCUCUCGAAUCCAUUCGCUUCUCUUCUCUCUCUUCCCGCCGUUGCUGCGCCCGGACUUUUUCCCAUUUGCUUGCAACUGAGCCUCCAACUGAGCCGACCGAGUGCGGAGAGAGACAGAGAGAGAGAGAGGGAGAGCGCCAUCGAGGGAAGGAGAAGAAACGGGACGCCAUGAGCCGCUAUGAUAGCCGUGCCAGCGAUCCCGGAUCCUAUCGGCGAAGUGAUGCGGGAUUCGGGGGUGGUUCUCAGAGCUACGGCAGGGGCUAUGAGUCCUCAAGCAAAAGAGAAGCGGAGGUUGGCGCCGACUUGGACGGGCUGACUCUCUUCGAGAAGAAUUUCUACGUGGAGUCCCCUUCCGUGGUGGCCAUGACCGAGUCCGAGGUGGAGGCCUACCGCCGCAAGAGGGAGAUCACGAUCGAGGGUCGCGACGUGCCCAAGCCCAUCAGAGAGUUCCGGGAUGCCGGAUUUCCGGAUUAUAUUAUGCAAGAGAUUAAUAAAGCUGGAUUUGUUGAGCCUACUCCUAUUCAAUCACAGGGCUGGCCAAUGGCUUUAAGGGGUCGUGAUCUUAUUGGCAUUGCUGAAACAGGAUCAGGAAAGACACUUGCCUAUCUGUUACCUGCAAUUGUUCAUGUUAAUGCUCAGCCAAUUUUAGCUCCUGGUGAUGGCCCAAUUGUUUUGGUGUUGGCUCCUACUCGUGAACUUGCUGUCCAGAUACAACAAGAAGCAACUAAAUUUGGGGCAUCAUCAAGGAUAAAAAGCACUUGUAUAUAUGGUGGGGUUCCAAAGGGUCCUCAGGUUCGAGAUCUUCAGAAAGGAGUUGAAAUUGUUAUUGCUACCCCGGGACGAUUGAUUGAUAUGCUAGAAUCACAUUAUACAAACCUGAGGAGGGUCACCUAUCUUGUUUUGGACGAGGCAGACCGUAUGCUAGACAUGGGUUUUGAACCUCAAAUAAGGAAAAUUGUUUCCCAGAUUCGUCCAGAUCGUCAAACUCUUUAUUGGAGCGCCACUUGGCCAAAGGAGGUUGAACAACUUGCAAGGCAGUUCCUAUACAACCCAUACAAGGUGAUUAUUGGUUCCAUAGACUUGAAAGCUAAUCAUGCAAUUCACCAGCGUGUAGAGAUUGUCUCAGAGAGUCAGAAAUAUAACAAACUGAUCAAACUGCUGGAGGAUAUUAUGGAUGGCAGUCGGAUUCUGAUAUUCAUGGACACAAAGAAGGGCUGUGAUCAAAUAACGAGGCAACUGCGCACAGAUGGCUGGCCUGCCCUGUCAAUCCAUGGUGACAAAAGCCAAGCUGAAAGGGACUGGGUCCUCUCGGAGUUCAAAUCAGGGAAGAGUCCUAUAAUGACUGCUACUGAUGUUGCUGCUCGUGGUUUGGAUGUGAAGGAUGUGAAAUAUGUGAUCAACUACGACUUUCCUGGAUCAUUGGAGGAUUAUGUCCACCGCAUUGGUCGAACAGGAAGAGCUGGGGCCAAGGGAACGGCAUAUACCUUUUUUACUGCAGCUAAUGCAAGAUUUGCUAAGGAUCUUAUUAAUAUACUGGAAGAAGCUGGGCAGAAAGUCAGUUCUGAACUGGCUGCAAUGGGUCGAGGUGCUCCGCCUCCCCCUGCAGGUGCAAUAUGACUGGCUAAGACCAGAAAUAGACUGAUCAGUGCAUCACUUGAAGAAACAUAUUUAUCAGCUAGAUAAAUUGUUGCAUGAAAUGGCCAGCAUGCCGGAUCUGUAUUUGCCAAACUAUGAAGGUCAUGGGGGAUUUCGUGAUCGUGGUAGGGGUUUUGGUGGUGGUCGUCCAUGGAGCUGAUACAUUCCUCGAUUGUCAGUUGAUUGAACAAUCAUUAAAUGGAAGGGCUGAUUGUUGCAUUCAAAUGGUCAUGUAUCUCUGUCUAGCUGACAUUGCUAUUAUUACUCCAUUUUGGCGUAGUUGGCUCAUAACCAGUGAACUGAGGGGGCAUGAGGAUGAUGGGGCUGAUGUUUUUGUGAAACACAUUGAACAGCAUUCUGAAUUAGGAAGUGAAAUAUGUAGCAUGUAACAUAAGAAGUGGCUGCUGUUUUAAAGAUCUUUGGGCAAAGGAUUCGGAAAGCUGGGCUUUAAGUUUUAACAUUACAAGGUUAAGUUUGAAAGUUCGAAUAUAAAUUUGAUGAAGUUUUGUUCUGGACUUGGCAAUGUACACUUAUUUUACAAAAUACGAAUCAAAAUGUACCAACAGAGUUAUCAACCCAGGCAUGCUAGAGUUUUAUCGAUCAUUAUAAAGCCCGUCAUGUACAUGCAUCAGCACUAGGGCUGCACCCAUGCACGUCCCACGAACGUUAGGUUGGUAACUAGGUCCUAUAUUCUACCAUUAGUUGUGUUUGUUUACUGUGCAGCUUUUGGGAACUUGGAUCUUCUGUCUUCCUCUUCUGCCACCCCCCGAGCCCCCCUUCUAUGGUUCAGGCACAUACAAUAAUCUCUCCUUGGUCUGGUAAAUCUGGUCUGCCAUCGUUUUUAAACUUGGAGACAAGCUGAGGCCGAAGUUGCAUUAAAAUGUUAUUUCUUUUCUGCAACGCGGGUGCUCCCACUUUUUUCCGUAUUCCAUGCUUCAAUUCAUAGUUGCUGUGUAGCAUUGUCGGUGAUCAUAUCAGGUGCAUUUAUUGGAGAGAAGGGCUUGAUGAUUCAUUACACGUAUGGUGGUUGGCAUUGAUGCAUCUGAUGUCAUGUCCCAACUUUUUCCCUGGUGGUUCCUUAUUACAUAGAUUCGGCAUUCGACGCUGUGUAUAACUUAUCAAAGAUUUCGUUAACCUAGUCCGGGAGAUCGUGCAAAUUGUCAUUGCAUUUGCAAUGUCAGCCAAUGCUUAAUCACAGGCUUGGGCUCAGCCCAAGAAGGUGGUUGAGAAAUGGGCUAAUGGUUACAACAUGAUUAAAAUCUUUUUACUGUGGCAUAUUUGAUAUUAUAUUAGAAUGCCUUGUAUGUUUGUGGGAAAAAUUUUUUAUGACAUUUGCUGUAAGUUUAGCUAAA